GGCAAGGAUGUGAUGAGUGCUGGGGGACUCCUGGUGUGAGGUGUCCUUGCAGAGAGCUGCCUGCACUGCUCAUGUGCUCAUAGAGCAUAUUUUAAUUACAGUCAAAGCCUCCCCUUUCCUGGAGAAUAGGGACGUUCCUGGGACAGCUGCCUGUUUAAUCACCUUUUAAGCCUCCCAAGCAGUCCUAACUGACAAGUUGUUUUCCCAGGAUGUUUUAGACACCGGUAUAAAACAGGUUGGUUGAUUUCUUGCUGCCCAUUCUGGGAUGCAGUGUUAACCAGUGAUGGCCUGAGAUGUGAGGCACCAGGCUCUGGUUUUGGGAUUAGGACUGCAACUGCUAUCUCCACUCCCAGAGGAUGCCAGCUCAGUUCCCCCCGGCCAAAAUAACCGCUAAUACCACUACAAAAUGAUACCUGAAAGCAUGUCCCUCCACACCCAUCUCUUACAGCUCCUCUUGCAUGUUAUUCCUCUCUUACAUGCUGAGCAUUGUCAGGUACCAUUUUAUAUUUAUCUAAAUUAAAUCUUGUCCUGUUUAAAUGUGCCCAACUUUCUGAGAUAUCCCAGGCUAAUUCACAUUUUGUCCUUCCUUGCAUUUUCCAUGCCUCCUUCAUCGAUCCACAGACGUGAUUGAGGUUAUAAUUUAUUUCCUUUUCCUUCUUCCUCCCUCUCCUGCUGCUCUCUUCCAGGACUUUAAUGAAAGGUUUUAAUAGCAGUCAGUUGAAGGAUGACCUGUUCUUUCAUUCCUUGAGUGCCUUGUGCUCUGCGAAUGGGCUCAUGAAUGAUUCAGUUCUUUGGGCUCUAGCUUGGCAGCCUGUGGCAGUUACUCAAAGGAAACAUUUCUGAGGUUUGUCCACACUUCCAAAUGAAACAGUCCUGAACCCCAAAACAGGAAGUGGAGCCCUAACUCAUAGAACAACUGCAAAGGUGGCUGCAUACGUAUUUUUUCAACCAAAAAAAAACCCCUCAACCCCAAAUGUAAAGCAUAGUUCACUUACCAUAGUGAAUGGCACUGGAUGGGGCUAUUAAAAUCAGAGUCUCAUCAAAUGUGGGCUCUUGGUGUCCUUUUCAUCAAAAAACAACGCUACCUUCAACUGGAAGUAAAUUGAAUUUAAACAAACGUGGGUGAGAAGCAGCAGUAUUUCCCAGGCAGAGCCGUGGGUCCCUGGGAUGUGGUUAAGGUGCUGACUGGGAAUACAGGAGCCUGGUGUUGUGUCCCCAGUUUGCCAGGAGGUUUGAGGACAGCUCUUGCAUCAGGGUUUUUGGCAGAGCUCAGUGACCCGUUUAGUGAAGCGAUGGGAUACUCAGAGAUUCCUGGUGCUGGUGCUGGUGCUGGAUGUCAGUGGAUGAGCACGAAGCACUGCAGAAGUCCAUCCUGUGCCUGCCUGAGUGAGAGCGAAGCUUCCCUGCACCUGAGAGCUGCUGCUCAAGGCUGCUAAGCAUGGCGACAAAUUAAUUCCUAUCAGUGUUUCUUUCUUCCCUCCAAUCAUACUUCCUUUUCCUUGUCCCCUUAGAUUGAAAACUUCCUUUUAGUGUCUGUACAAGCUGUGCUAAGCUCCAUGUGGUCCUGAUGGCACCACUUAAAUUCUGCCCAUAAUCUGAAUAACAAUAAAAAUACUGCUUCAAAGGAGUUACGACCUUAUAAAAUUGCUGAACUCUAGUGCACUCCUCUCCUGAAACCAACAAUAGGAAACACAAAUCGGUACCAAACUGCAGCCUCUGAUUUAGCAUCAGCAAUUCUUUUUUCUAGCCUGGAGCUUUGGGUAAACUUGGUUCUGCUCUUGCAGCAGAGGUUUCUGGAACAUGAAUGCAAAUAACUUCUGCUCUCCACGCACCACUGGAGAGAUGCUCUUGUUUCACUGCUUUAAGAUUCAGAGUCCUUCCAGGAGACAGGAACCAAGGAUGCCUGUCAUCUCCCAAGGGGGGAAAGUGCUGCCAGCCUGUGGGUUAAGUAGAAGCAGGGACUAGCCUAAAGUAGAGAGGGGGUUUGGAGAGAGGGAGGCAAUUCCUGAAUCACCUGCUUAGAGCCAGCUCAGGGGAACAGGUUCACUUUUCUGGCCUGGAUUUUAAUGCAACUUUUGUCCAGGAAGGUGUCCUGGAGGGAGGAGACAGGAGCCACAGCACCCUCAGGCACUUCCACCUACCCUGUGCAGGGAGCUUGCAGGCAGGGGCAGCCCCGCUGACACCAUCUUCUGGGCAGAAAACCAGGCUAUAAUUAUGGCAAUUAUGCCUUUAUACAUAAGUUUUGCCUUUAUUUACAUAAAUGAGCUAAUGGAUUUUUUUUUCAGACUACAUCUCUCCUGGAUAACCUAUAAGCCAAGCUCUGAGCUCCCUGUCAGGGCUUGUAGGAAGCAAAUGUUCACUCCUUGUCUCCUCCAGUUAAUUAAAUCCUGUCCGUUCCCUCCCCCCCCCCAGUCCACUGGAGGUGGCAGGAGAUGCCCCAGUUUGCUCUUAAUGAAACCACUUGGUGCCAUGAGGGGAGUUAUUUGAAGGCCAGAAGCAGCUCCCAGGCGGCUCUUUGCAGGGUUGGGUCUUCCCUCUGCACCUCUAGCCCAGGAAAGGGGAUUUGGCACCAGUCAAAACAGAACGGGUUGUGGUCGAGCCCAGUGACACUGUCCUAAGCACAGUGGCUGAGCUGCAGGCAGAGAUGUGCUUUGAGACAAAAGCAGUCCAGACCAAGAAUAGAGCUGUGUGCUGAAAGAAAGGCUGCAGGGUGGGAGAAAUGAAGCUGUUUUGUUCUCAUUGUAGCCCAUCCUGCACUGCUGCAGUGCUUAUAGAAAGCCAGAGAUGUCCUUGACAUGCUACCACCAUCAGCUGGCUUAUUUGGCUGAGGGCAGGAGUAGCCCCUGGUGCCCUGCUCUGGUGAGAUGCAUGUCUGGCCCAGUCUGUCACAUCCCAACCCUUGCAGCAUCCCUGUCCCUACAUGGGGGAAAAGCAGCAACUGCCACAGCCCUUUUUGGGGUGGAUUUCGGUUUUGGAGGCUGCAACACUGCAGGUAGCCUGGCUGCUGUAGGAACGAAGCCUUGAGAUACGUGGUGAAGGGAUUAACAAGGUGUGGUCGUUGCAACAUCCUGAUGGGGAUGAUAAGGGUAUCAGGUGGAGGCCUGAGCACCCUUACUGCUCCCACCUCAGCCAGGUGGAAGAGGGAGAGAUGUGAUUCACCCUUCCGUUCUGCCCUUGCACAAGACCCAGGACCCUUGAGCAGCCUGACAGAAGGCAAUUGAAACUCUCCCUCAUUUACAUAUUAAAAAUGCAUCACAGUGAGAAAGUGUCUGCCCCCCCCAACACCUGUGACAGCAGCAGCAGGUAAUUUGACUACAGUCUCAUCUCCACUUCUCUCAAAAUGAUAAAUUUGGUAUUUGAACCCCUCCAGAUGGGCAGAGGAUGAGAGUAUGACUCUACAGACAAGUUGAUGGGCUUGCUCCUCUCUCCUCCCCAGAGCAGGGAUUCCCCUUUAUUCAUCCCUUGGAUUGCUGCAAGUAGACCUGCUUUUAAAAGAAGGAGGUCUGAUUCCCAAAGAACAGGUAUUCAGUAUUCAUUCUUCCUAGCUCCAAAUCCAGCCUGGGGUGUGUGGGUUAAUUCAACAUCAUCAGUGCCUGUGGAAGGUUUUGACCACAGCCUUUGCUGCUUGCUAUGAAGUUUGCUUUAACUGUCAGUUUCUUGUGCUCCCCAAAGCAUACAGGCUUUUAGCUUUUUGUCUGCUGUUCCAUGCCUGUCUUUGAUCACUAUUUGUUCAGCUUCUGAAAGCAGGAAAUACUGAACCACUUUUAUUACCACACUUCCUUUGUAUUUGGGAGGGAAAAGUGAAGGACUUUCCUGCAUUAAUUUUCUAGCUUGGCUGUUACAAGACACAAUGUUUGCUAUGGGAGCAGAUGCAUCAGGAAGGAACUUACGGGGAAACCCGUGUGAUGCCUGGGAGGUCCGUGUCUUCACCCCAGCCAUGUGUUACCUACAAGCACAAGACAAGAUGUAGGUCACCAGAACGGGUGACUGACAAAGUCUGAAAGACCUGCUUUUGUGAAGGAGAAAUAAGAUCAGGGGUUAGGCGAAAGCUAAUGCUCUCUGUGAGUCUUGGCUCUAUAUCACCUACGUUAUUUCUGUAAGGGAGUGUCGAGGAGAAAGAGAUGGGGGCUUAAAUGAGACUAAGUCCCAUGUAAAUACUGUAUUGCUUCCAAGCACUAGCCCAAGGUGAAAUCAGUUGCUUUGCAGCUCCCCUCAGCUGGAGUUACUGAAGCCAAAGAUAACUUCUUGCCUGUUUUUAUGGCCUUAUGUGCAUGAGGUGCACGCAGCUUAUGCUACCAGGCCAUUUUAAGUCACAUUGAGGUUAAUGAAGACUCCCACAGACUUCAGUGGGCAAUACAUCAAACUGUGCAGCUCAGCAAAGCCGAAGUCUCAGCCACAAGCUUCCUGUCCUUGGUUUUCAAACAUCUCUAUUGUGCUGUCCCUAUUGAACAAUCAAAAACGCUUUCCUUUCUGGAGGAAUUGAAUAAAAAUUGGAUCUGAAAACAAAGCUACAAUGUAAAUCAUGGCAGAAAUGCACUGAAGGGGAAAUCAAAGCUGUGCUCAUCAUCUGGGCAGUAAGGGACAGGUGGAAAUAACAUUAUUUUGGAGAUGUCUCAACUGAAAAGUUCCAGGAGUAAGAAAAUCUCACUGGCUAACUAUGAUUAAAUGGAUGUACAUGAAUCUGUUCAGAGAGGGGACUAAGUAGAAGUGCUACUUUCUUACUUGGAUUGGUAUUGAAGUUAGAAACUACUUUGGAAUGCUUUUAGAGGCAAAUGGGCUAUUUGGUUUUGCUGGUGGUGUUGGUUUUUGUUUUUGUUUUUUGCAGGGAAGGCCAAAUUGUAUUUUCCUUUAGAGCUAUUUGCAGGUAAAGAGGUAGCUCAUGUUCUGGAUCCUCAUAGUUCAUUACCAGAGAAAUCUGGAUUUGUAGUCGGAGGGCUAGUUAGGCAUUUCAAUGGAAACAUACAGCUAUGGGUUUGUGCACUGGUUGCAAUCAGGACUUUCGGAGUUCCGUUUUACUUCAUAUAGACAAGAAGUCAGAGUUCAGUAUCCAGUUGCAGGCUGCAUUUAGGUAGAGGAUACAGGAAGACAAAAACCCAGCACAGAUCUCUCAGUAAAUCACCCUGGGGUGCGACGCUCACAAGGGGUGAUUUUUUGGAGCUAAGCUUUCGAAAUAUAAGGCUUGAGGCUCAUUACAGAUAGGCAUGAAAGCACUUCCCUUCCUUCCUGCAUAUGGACUCAGAAUUGUGAGCAAGAGGUUUGUUUCUUAUUUUGGUUAAAACUGUCAAGAAAUGUAAAGCUUUCCAGACACACACAUACCUGGGUGCUGAUGCUCCAGGUAGAAGCCCGCCUUUGGACUUCACGAGCAGAUUCCUCUCUACUUUCAUGACCUCAACUCCCAUCACAUGCUUCUCAGGCACUACUUCAUUAUUUUUAUAUGAUAGUGGGGUGUGAAAGUCCUGCCUGAUGCUGUCCUGGCCUGGGAGGCUGCAGCCUGGGCACUGGGGGCUCUUCCGUUAUACUUCCAGUGGUGCUUGCUUCUCCAGUAGCAGGUGUGAGCCCUGCAACAGUCUUUCAAAACAGACUUGAAAAAUUCACAAAAUGCUUUAUAUAUGAAGUGACUGAAUGACUACGGAGCACUGGUGGGAUUUUGUUGGGUUUUUCUUUCAGCAAGCUUCCAGUUGACAGGUUUCCACAUGUAAUUAAAGGCUGCAUAUUCAGUACAA